rnacentral:rRNA from 1 species
AAACGAAUUCGCCCUUCCCAGUAGUCAUAUGCUUGUCUCAAAGAUUAAGCCAUGCAUGUCUAAGUAUAAGCAAUUAUACCGUGAAACUGCGAAUGGCUCAUUAAAUCAGUUAUCGUUUAUUCGAUAAUACCUUACUACUUGGAUAACCGUGGUAAUUCUAGAGCUAAUACAUGCUGAAAAUCCCGACUUCGGAAGGGAUGUGUUUAUUAGAUAAAAAACCAAUGCCCUUCGGGGCUCUUUGGUGAUUCAUGAUAACUUUACGGAUCGCAUAGCCUUGCGCUGGCGACGGUUCAUUCAAAUUUCUGCCCUAUCAACUUUCGAUGGUAAGGUAUUGGCUUACCAUGGUUUCAACGGGUAACGGGGAAUUAGGGUUCGAUUCCGGAGAGGGAGCCUGAGAAACGGCUACCACAUCCAAGGAAGGCAGCAGGCGCGCAAAUUACCCAAUCCCGACACGGGGAGGUAGUGACAAUAAAUACUGAUACAGGGCUCUUUUGGGUCUUGUAAUUGGAAUGAGUACAAUUUAAACCUCUUAACGAGGAACAAUUGGAGGGCAAGUCUGGU